rnacentral:rRNA from 1 species
GCUUGCUUCAGAUGACGACCGGCGAACGGGUGCGUAACGCGUAUAGAAUCUGCCUUGUACAGGAGGAUAGCCUUUAGAAAUGAAGAUUAAUACUCCAUAAUACUGAUAUGUGGCAUCAUAAAUUAGUUAAACAUUUAUGGGUACAAGAUGACUAUGCGUCCUAUUAGCUAGAUGGUAAGGUAACGGCUUACCAUGGCAACGAUAGGUAGGGGGUCUGAGAGGAUUAUCCCCCACACUGGUACUGAGACACGGACCAGACUCCUACGGGAGGCAGCAGUGAGGAAUAUUGGUCAAUGGAGGCAACUCUGAACCAGCCAUGCCGCGUGCAGGAAGACUGCCCUAUGGGUUGUAAACUGCUUUUAUACAGGAAGAAACCGAUCUACGUGUAGGUCCUUGACGGUACUGUAAGAAUAAGCACCGGCUAACUCCGUGCCAGCAGCCGCGGUAAUACGGAGGGUGCAAGCGUUAUCCGGAAUCAUUGGGUUUAAAGGGUCCGC